rnacentral:RNase_P_RNA from 1 species
GAGAGAGGAAGAACGGCUGCCGGGUCAUUAUGACCUGAGGAAAGUCCCCCCACCGUCCGGAAGACACGAACGCCUGUAGUGGGCGUAGGACGAGAGUCCUGGCAGUUGCUGAUUAAAUCCAGCGGCUCAUAUGGCAACAAGGUUGCUGUAUGAUGGCACAGAAACGAUACCGUACCGUGUUAAUGCAAUGAUGCUUAAAAAGCGAAGGUCGCACGGGUUGCGGAUGGAACGCGUGAAUCCUCGUGGGUGCAAGCCAAAUAUGGGCAAACAGGCCUUUCCGGAGCCUGCCCGGAGUUAGCGCUAAGCCGAAUGCCGUUUAGAUGCGGAUCACAUCCUGAAUGGGAAGUGCCGCACAAACAGAAGGGGGCUUAUUCUCCUCACUC